GGAGUUUGGGCCGUGUCUCAGUCCCAAUGUGGCCGUACACCCUCUCAGGCCGGCUACUGAUCGUCGCUUUGGUGGGCCGUUACCCCGCCAACUGGCUAAUCAGACGCGGGUCCAUCUCGUACCACCGGAGUUUUUCACACUGUACCAUGCAGUACUGUGCGCUUAUGCGGUAUUAGCAGUCAUUUCUAACUGUUAUCCCCCUGUACAAGGCAGGUUACCCACGCGUUACUCACCCGUCCGCCACUCAGUCAAUCAAAUCUUCCUCCCGAAGGAUUCUGUCUUGAUUGCUUCGUUCAACUUGCAUGUGUUAGGCACGCCGCCAGCGUUCAUC
rnacentral:rRNA from 1 species